UACAGAGGUGGCAAGCGUUGUUCGGAAUUACUGGGCGUAAAGGGCGCGUAGGCGGUCUUUUAGGUCUUGUGUGAAAUCCCUCGGCUCAACUGAGGAACUGCACGGGAUACUGGAAGACUUGAGUUCGGGAGAGGGAAGCGGAAUUCCGGGUGUAGCGGUGAAAUGCGUAGAUAUCCGGAGGAACACCGGUGGCGAAGGCGGCUUCCUGGACCGAUUACUGACGCUGAGGCGCGAAAGCUAGGGGAGCAAACGGG
rnacentral:rRNA from 1 species